rnacentral:rRNA from 1 species
GCAAGUCGAACGGCAGCGCGGGAGCAAUCCUGGCGGCGAGUGGCGAACGGGUGAGUAAUACAUCGGAACGUGCCCAAUCGUGGGGGAUAACGCAGCGAAAGCUGUGCUAAUACCGCAUACGAUCUACGGAUGAAAGCAGGGGAUCGCAAGACCUUGCGCGAAUGGAGCGGCCGAUGGCAGAUUAGGUAGUUGGUGAGGUAAAGGCUCACCAAGCCUUCGAUCUGUAGCUGGUCUGAGAGGACGACCAGCCACACUGGGACUGAGACGCGGCCCAGACUCCUACGGGAGGCAGCAGUGGGGAAUUUUGGACAAUGGGCGAAAGCCUGAUCCAGCCAUGCCGCGUGCAGGAUGAAGGCCUUCGGGUUGUAAACUGCUUUUGUACGGAACGAAACGGCCUUUUCUAAUAAAGAGGGCUAAUGACGGUACCGUAAGAAUAAGCACCGGCUAACUACGUGCCAGCAGCCGCGGUAAUACGUAGGGUGCAAGCGUUAAUCGGAAUUACUGGGCGUAAAGCGUGCGCAGGCGGUUAUGUAAGACAGUUGUGAAAUCCCCGGGCUCAACCUGGGAACUGCAUCUGUGACUGCAUAGCUAGAGUACGGUAGAGGGGGAUGGAAUUCCGCGUGUAGCAGUGAAAUGCGUAGAUAUGCGGAGGAACACCGAUGGCGAAGG